rnacentral:rRNA from 1 species
UACGAAGGGGGCUAGCGUUGCUCGGAAUCACUGGGCGUAAAGCGCACGUAGGCGGCUUUUUAAGUCAGGGGUGAAAUCCUGGAGCUCAACUCCAGAACUGCCUUUGAUACUGAGAAGCUUGAGUCCGGGAGAGGUGAGUGGAACUGCGAGUGUAGAGGUGAAAUUCGUAGAUAUUCGCAAGAACACCAGUGGCGAAGGCGGCUCACUGGCCCGGUACUGACGCUGAGGUGCGAAAGCGUGGGGAGCGAUCCGG